rnacentral:pre_miRNA from 1 species
UAGCCAAGGAUGACUUGCCUAUAUCCUCUCUAAAGGAUCAGCAAAUAUUGAGGCUUCUAGUGGUCUCAUAUGGGCAGUCUCCUUGGCUAGCC